rnacentral:sRNA from 1 species
GACACCCUCUAAACUCUGCAAACUGAAACUGGAACCAUGGUUACCACAUCCUGUUCAUUUUCCAAUUUAGCUCAACCCCUGUGUCCUGCCCAAUAGAAGUGGCACCAUGGCCCCCAGACUCAUCACCGUCCUGUGUCUGGGUAAGUCCUGGAAGGGAAAGGAGGACACGGUUGGGAUGGAAAAUGCUCUCUUGAAGACCUGGCCUCUCCACAACCCAGGUCUGGUGGUGGGAAGCCAGGUUCAUCCACCCUCUGAAUCCAGGCUGAGCUGACAAACCCAGUUACACGGAGGGCAGGAUUCACAUGAAGACAAGCUAUUUUUCUCUCCUCUCUUUUUUUUUUUUUUGCCCAGGAUUCUGCCUGAACCAGAAGAUCUGCCCACAUGCGGGUGCUCAGGACAAGUUCUCCCUGUCAGCCUGGCCGAGCCCUGUGGUUCCCCUAGGAGGACGUGUGACUCUCUCCUGUCAUUCCCAUCUUCGGUUUGUCAUAUGGACAAUAUUCCAAACAACUGGGACCCGAAGCCAUCAGUUGCACACUGGCCUUUCCAACAACAUCACCAUCAGCCCUGUGACCCCAGGACGCGCAGGGACCUACAGAUGUGUUGGAAUUUACAAGCACACCUCAAAGUGGUCAGCUGAGAGCAACUCCCUGAAGAUCAUCGUCACAGGCUUGUUCACAAAACCCUCCAUCUCAGCGCACCCAAGCCCCCUGGUGCACGCAGGAGCCAGGGUGGAUCCCAUGAUGAGGCUGGGAGAGAAGUUGACCCUCUUCUGCAGCUCUGAAAUCUCAUUUGACCAGUACCAUCUGUUCAGAGACGGGGUUGCUCAUGGACAGUGGCUCAGUGGAGGGCAGAGACAUAGGGGAGCAUUCCAGGCCAACUUUUCUGUGGGCCGCUCAAUGCCAGUCCCUGGCGGGACCUAUAGAUGCUAUGGUUCCUUCAAUGACUCUCCCUAUGAGUGGUCAGCCCCCAGUGACCCGCUGCAACUUUACGCCACAGGAAACACUAAGAUUACUCCUCUGUCAUUCACGGAAUCCACCCCUGAAUCUGACACACAUCGCCCUCAAGGACAGUCCAGCAACCUGCAUAUGCUCACUGGACUCUCAGUAGCCAUCAUCUCCAUUGGCGUUUGCCUCUCUGCUUUUAUUGGUUUCUGGUGUUACAUAAAAUAUCACACCACCAUGGCAAACACAGAGCCCACGGAAGGCCAACGGACGGAUGAAGAAGAGCCUGCAGCAGAAGAGACACAGGAGAUCAUAUAUGCCCAGUUAAACCACCAGGCCCUCUCACAGACAGGAUUCCCUCCUGCCUCCCAGUGUCCCCACUACCUCUCGGAGGAGCCCAGUAUCUACAUCACUGUCCACCAAGCCCAGGCUGAGGCCAGAGCUGCCCCCAGUCUUUGGCACAAAGGGCAUUAAUACGCAAGGACCUGGAUCUAUUCCUAGGAGGAUUUUUUUUCCACGGACAUUCUUCCUCCUUCUGGUACCAUCUUGACACCUCGAAGC